rnacentral:rRNA from 1 species
CCUACGGGAGGCUGCAGUGGGGGAUAUUGGACAAUGGGGGGAACCCUGAUCCAGCGACGCCGCGUGAGUGAAGAAGUAUUUCGGUAUGUAAAGCUCUGUCAGCAGGGAAGAAAGCAAUGACGGUACCUGACCAAGAAGCCCCGGCUAACUACGUGCCAGCAGCCGCGGUAAUACGUAGGGGGCAAGCGUUAUCCGGAAUUACUGGGUGUAAAGGGAGCGUAGACGGCUGUGCAAGUCUGGAGUGAAAGGCGGGGGCCCAACCCCCGGACUGCUCUGGAAACUGUAUGGCUGGAGUGCAGGGGAGGUAGGCGGAAUUCCUAGUGUAGCGGUGAAAUGCGUAGAUAUUAGGAGGAACACCAGUGGCGAAGGCGGCUUACUAGACUAUAACUGACGUUGAGGCUCGAAAGCGUGGGGAGCAAACAGGAUUAGAUACCCGGGUAGUC